GACGAACGCUGGCGGCGUGCUUAACACAUGCAAGUCGAGCGGUAAGGCUCCUUCGGGAGUACACGAGCGGCGAACGGGUGAGUAACACGUGGGUAACCUGCCCUUCUCAUCGGAAUAAGCGUUGGAAACGACGUCUAAUGCCGAAUACGACUUCGGAAGGCAUCUUCUGAAGUGGAAAGCUCCGGCGGAGAAGGAUGGACUCGCGGCCUAUCAGCUAGUUGGUGAGGUAACGGCUCACCAAGGCGACGACGGGUAGCCGGCCUGAGGGGGUGACCGGCCACACUGGGACUGAGACACGGCCCAGACUCCUACGGGAGGCAGCAGUGGGGAAUAUUGGACAAUGGGCGCAAGCCUGAUCCAGCAACGCCGCGUGAGGGAUGACGGCCUUCGGGUUGUAAACCUCUUUCAGCAGGGACGAAGCGCAAGUGACGGUACCUGCAGAAGAAGGACCGGCCAACUACGUGCCAGCAGCCGCGGUAAAAC
rnacentral:rRNA from 1 species